CAGCAGCAGCUUCAGCAACUCCAGCAGCAGAUGAAAGGCUUCCAAGAUCUGAAGCUGCCCCCCUUGGGUCAGGCUCCCAAAACCGUCAAGUUCAGCUUGCCUGAGGAUGAUGGUAUGAGUGAUGAAUUUGAUGAUGAGUUCGAUGAAGAGGAUUUAGAAGAUGAUGAGUUUUACGAUGAGUUGGACGAUAUUCCCCAUCAGCUUCCCAACAAAAUGAAACCGAAUGCGGUUAAUGGGCAGGGGACUCAGAUGCCCAACCUCAUGAUGUUGAAU
rnacentral:lncRNA from 1 species